UUACUGUUUUUCAAUCCGGUGUUAACAAAACGUCUUAUUUACUACGGCUAGAAAACUAAUUAUGGACUGUUGGCGCUAAAAAUCGAUGUAUUUUACAUCACACUAUCGAAAACAAGCGAAGAAAUGUUAUUCGCUGUGAUUAUAGCUGGUCAAAAGGGGAUCCACAAGCGAAGAAAAUACACUGAAAAAUACUACAAUACAUUUGUAUUUGCAAGUAGUUGGUUUUAAAAUGAUUACUACAUAAGCUUAUGGCUUUCAGUCCAGUCUUCCAUAAUUACAAAAUGCCAAAAAAUGUGCAUUUGAAAUAAGCAGACCGUCGGGGGUCAGCAGCGACCCAUUAAACCAUGCAAAUCAGAGUUUCGCAUACAAUAUUGUUUUGAUCCUGGAGACAUUUAGUUUAAGAUUCAUUUGUAUUUAGAUUAUUCACAAUACUUAAUAUAUCCUGAACUAUUAAAACUUGAUGUAGAAAUAAAAACUAACAAUAAAAACUGUAAUUAAAAGGAAACCCGGCGUUUCCUGUCUGCA